GACGAACGCUGGCGGCGUGCUUAACACAUGCAAGUCGAACGAUGAACCCGGAGCUUGCUCCGGUGGAUUAGUGGCGAAUGGGUGAGUAACACGUGAGUAACCUGCCCUUGACUCUGGGAUAACUGCGGGAAACUGUAGCUAAUACCGGAUACGACCCUCGGCGGCAUCGCCAGGGGGUGGAAGGAAUUUCGGUCAAGGAUGGACUCGCGGCCUAUCAGCUAGUUGGUGAGGUAACGGCUCACCAGGGCGACGACGGGUAGCCGGCCUGAGAGGGUGACCGGCCACACUGGGACUGAGACACGGCCCAGACUCCUACGGGAGGCAGCAGUGGGGAAUAUUGCACAAUGGGCGCAAGCCUGAUGCAGCAACGCCGCGUGAGGGAUGACGGCCUUCGGGUUGUAAACCUCUUUUAGUAGGGAAGAAGCGAAAGUGACGGUACCUGCAGAAAAAGCGCCGGCUAACUACGUGCCAGCAGCCGCGGUAA
rnacentral:rRNA from 1 species